GUCGUAGGUUACACGCUCAAUCUGGCAUGAGUUCAGCCCAUCAAUCUGAGAUUGACGCCAGAUUGAUGGCUAAAAAGGACAUAAUAAAAAAAUGAUUAGUUAUCAAUCCGUGGGUUACACUCGUUUGCCUCAAUC